UCUAGUUCUCUAGUUCUAGUUCUAAUUUGGAGUUGAUCUAGUUAGAUCUAAACCUAGAUAUCUCUAGUCUUCAUAAUAGAGAAGCCUUGUGUGGUUCUCUUCUUCUCCCUCUAAUUCUCCGGCAAUGAUUAGCUUUGGACGGCGAAGCGUCGCCGGAUCAUGAAGCAUGUACGCCUAAAAUCCAUAGAGAGGUCGUGCUUUAGGUCUUUGGUUCGAGGGAUCGUUCACGAACAGUUCGGAGAGUUCAUCACCGAUCUACACCAACUCUUCUUCCGGUGCUACUCGAAGUUGAGAGCACUCCUACUCUACUACAAAUUCGUAUCCCAAUCCUUCGUCAGAGCAGCACUUUUCCUAUUUUUCUCUUCUCCUCAUCCUCUCAUGUCGGCACCCACACAACAACACUUCACCAAAGAAUAAGAAGAAGACCGAAGCGAGCAUCAACAUGUGCGCCCCUCACGCCAACAACGGCGCGCUGCCGCGACGCAUCAUCGUUGGAUCCUUGAUGGCGCACGCCGAAGCCGCAAACACUAGGCCACGAGAGAUCGAGGACGCGGUGUGCGCUGUCCUGAGCAUGGGGUUUAAUGAUGAGCGCUGGUACAAAAUGAAGCCCGGAAAGGACGACGCCGUCUUCGUCCAGUUCUGGUACGACAACUCGGUGAAUAAGGUCCAUGGCAAGACCUGGCGCAACAACCGUUCCAAGCUGACGUUCUGAUUAGUCCCCCAUGACACGGUGGACAAGAUGCCUCUAGAGACCAAGGUCUGAGUCACGGAGGAGUGAGGAUGAAGAUGAAGACGGGGCUAUUUUAUUUCUUUUCUUUUCAUAAGAUAUAUUUAUUUGUAUGUGGUCAGCGAACCUGCAGUUGCUAUAUUAAUUAUUUUAUAUUUUA